AGGCUUAACACAUGCAAGUCGAGGGGCAGCAUUUUAGUUUGCUUGCAAACUGAAGAUGGCGACCGGCGCACGGGUGAGUAACACGUAUCCAACCUACCGAUAACUCCGGAAUAGCCUUUCGAAAGAAAGAUUAAUACCGGAUAGCAUACGAAUAUCGCAUGAUAUUUUUAUUAAAGAAUUUCGGUUAUCGAUGGGGAUGCGUUCCAUUAGUUUGUUGGCGGGGUAACGGCCCACCAAGACUACGAUGGAUAGGGGUUCUGAGAGGAAGGUCCCCCACAUUGGAACUGAGACACGGUCCAAACUCCUACGGGAGGCAGCAGUGAGGAAUAUUGGUCAAUGGGCGAGAGCCUGAACCAGCCAUGUAGCGUGAAGGAUGAAGGCUCUAUGGGUCGUAAACUUCUUUUAUAUGGGAAUAAAGUUUUCCACGUGUGGAAUUUUGUAUGUACCAUAUGAAUAAGGAUCGGCUAACUCCGUGCCAGCAGCCGCGGUAAUACGGAGGAUCCGAGCGUUAUCCGGAUUUAUUGGGUUUAAAGGGAGCGUAGGUGGAUUGUUAAGUCAGUUGUGAAAGUUUGCGGCUCAACCGUAAAAUUGCAGUUGAAACUGGCAGUCUUGAGUACAGUAGAGGUGGGCGGAAUUCGUGGUGUAGCGGUGAAAUGCUUAGAUAUCACGAAGAACUCCGAUUGCGAAGGCAGCUCACUAGACUGUCACUGACACUGAUGCUCGAAAGUGUGGGUAUCAAACAGGAUUAGAUACCCUGGUAGUCCACACAGUAAACGAUGAAUACUCGCUGUUUGCGAUAUACAGUAAGCGGCCAAGCGAAAGCAUUAAGUAUUCCACCUGGGGAGUACGCCGGCAACGGUGAAACUCAAAGGAAUUGACGGGGGCCCGCACAAGCGGAGGAACAUGUGGUUUAAUUCGAUGAUACGCGAGGAACCUUACCCGGGCUUAAAUUGCAACAGAAUAUAUUGGAAACAGUAUAGCCGUAAGGCUGUUGUGAAGGUGCUGCAUGGUUGUCGUCAGCUCGUGCCGUGAGGUGUCGGCUUAAGUGCCAUAACGAGCGCAACCCUUAUCUUUAGUUACUAACAGGUUAUGCUGAGGACUCUAGAGAGACUGCCGUCGUAAGAUGUGAGGAAGGUGGGGAUGACGUCAAAUCAGCACGGCCCUUACGUCCGGGGCUACACACGUGUUACAAUGGGGGGUACAGAAGGCGGCUACCUGGUGACAGGAUGCUAAUCCCAAAAACCUCUCUCAGUUCGGAUCGAAGUCUGCAACCCGACUUCGUGAAGCUGGAUUCGCUAGUAAUCGCGCAUCAGCCAUGGCGCGGUGAAUACGUUCCCGGGCCUUGUACACACCGCCCGUCAAGCCAUGAAAGCCGGGGGUACCUGAAGUACGUAACCGCAAGGAGCGUCCUAGGGUAAAACUGGUAAUUGGGGCUAAAU
rnacentral:rRNA from 1 species